rnacentral:lncRNA from 10 species
GGAAAAGUGAGUACCGGCUAGUAUCGCGAGAUCAGGAAGGUGGCCGAGUGUGUCGCCGCGGCCAUCAGGCACUUCUCCUUCCUGCCCUUGUAUGAAGAAGGAUGUGUUUGCUUCCCCUUGUGCCAUGAUUGUAAAUUUCCUGAGGCCUCCUCAGCCCUGCAGAACUGGGGUUAUAGCCAUGUGACUGAUCUUCGUCCAAGAAUAUGUAAAGAAAAAGUGUUGAGUUGGCUUUUAGGGCUAGAGCAAUGUAUCUUAGGCUCACUUAAGGAAGCUGUAGAGAUGAGCCCAAGGAGGGAAACCAGAAGAGCCCCCCAGGCUCACCAGUUGUUUGUUGGCUCCCUACAAACAUGUCAUUCAAGUGGCUAAUCUUACAACAGCACAAAUUCAUCUAACCAGAGAUACUCUAUUAUAGCAAAGAAGAAAGAUAAUUUCAUUGAGCCAUCCUGUUUUACAGGAAAUUCUGCAAGUGGCAACGUGGGUCCAUUCCGUGUGUGUCACUAGAGCUGGCGCAAGCCCAUGGCCAUGGUGAGGCAGCGUUUCCACUGGAACUAAUCUGAUACCUGCACCAGCUCUUGCAACUGUGCAGUGUUCCCACUGCAAACUACGGAUGGGGUAAAAGACUGCUCACCUCCUAUUUCUCAUCUAAUCUCACACACUCUGUUUGAUGAGGCUAUGGAGAAACAGGUCUUCUCAUACACUAAAGGUGGGAGUACAAACAAUUCAAGCCCUGUGCAGGACAAUUAGGCAAUACCUAUCAAAAUUAUACAUGAUUUUUCCUGCUGACCCAGCAAUUCCACUUCUGGGAAUAAUUGACAGAUAUAGGUGCAUAUGUACAAAAUGAUGGAAAGCUCUCUGGUAUAUAUUAGUAAGUGAUAAAACAAGGUGUAAAAUAGUGUAUAUAUGGCUACUACCUUUUGUUUUAAAAAUGGGGGAAAAUGGUGGAGCUUGCGGUGAGCCGAGAUCGUGCCACUGCACUCCAGCCUGGGCGACAGAGCGAGACUCCGUCUCAAAAAAAAAACAGGGUGGGGUGGGGGGGAAAUAAUAGUACAUACUCAUAUUUACCUGUAUCUAUAUAAAACACACUAUCAAGGAUUCACAAGAAACUAAUACAAAUGAUCACCUUAUAGAUGGUAUGUAUUGGGGGAUACUGAGGUGAGCAGGGUAUAAGUGGGGCAAGACUUUUCAGUGUAAACUUCUUUUAAAUUUUAUUUUGAUUUUUGAAUAAUGUAAAUUAACUGUCAAAUAAUUAAAUUAAAAAUAACCAAUUUAUUAACAAAA